rnacentral:rRNA from 1 species
UGUCCUUAGUUGCCAGCGGUUCGGCCGGGCACUCUAGGGAGACUGCCGGUGACAAACCGGAGGAAGGUGGGGAUGACGUCAAGUCCUCAUGGCCUUUAUGUCCAGGGCUACACACGUGCUACAAUGGCGCGUACAGAGGGACGCCAAACCGCGAGGUGGAGCAGACCCCAGAAAGCGCGUCGUAGUUCGGAUUGCAGUCUGCAACUCGACUGCAUGAAGUCGGAAUCGCUAGUAAUCGCGGAUCAGCAUGCCGCGGUGAAUACGUUCCCGGGCCUUGUACACACCGCCCGUCACACCAUGGGAGUAGAUUGUACCAGAAGCGGCUAGCCUAACCUUCGGGAGGGCGGUUACCACGGUAUGGUUUAUGACUGGGGUGAAGUCGUAACAAGGUAACCGUA